AUGCGCGCCAUGAUCGGGGACAGAUUCGAGAGGCGGGAGGAGUUUCUGGAGGAGCUGGCGGAGAUCGUCAAGGUCGGCGCGGGGUUCAGCCUGGAUGACAUGUUCCCGUCGUGGAGGCUCGCGAGCGCCGUCGGCGGCAUGACGCGCCGGGCGGAGCUGAACCACCGCAAGACCUACGAGCUCAUGGACUGCGUGUUCCGGCAGCACCAGCAGCUGAGAGAGGCCGUAGCUGAAGGCGCCAUCAAGGAAGAGGAGGAAGACCUUGUGGACGUGCUCCUUAGGAUACAGAAGGAAGGCGGCCUCGAGGUGCCUCUCACCACCGGCAACAUCAAAGCGGUCAUCCUUGACCUCUUCAACGCCGGGAGCGAGACGUCAGCGAAUACACUCGAAUGGGUCAUGUCAGAGCUAAUGAGGAACCCACUAGUGAUGCACAAGGCACAAGUCGAGCUACAGAACAGCCUCCAAGGGAAAUCGACGGUGACCGAGGAUGACCUGGCUGGCCUGAAGUACCUAAAGCUCGUCAUCAAGGAAACCCUGAGGCUGCACACGGUGUUGCCACUGCUUCUCCCGAGGGAGUGCCGGGAGACGUGCAAUGUCAUGGGGUACGACGUGCCCAAGGGCACCACCGUGUUCGUGAACGCAUGGGUGAUCAGUAGGGACCCAAAGCACUGGGAUGACCCAGAGAAGUUCAAGCCGGAGCGAUUUGAGAGCAUCAUGGUUGACUUCAAGGGCACCGACUUCGAGUUUGUUCCAUUUGGUGCUGGGCGGAGGAUAUGCCCGGGCAUCACGUUCACGCAGGCCAAUAUGGAGAUUGUGCUCGCCGCACUAUUGUACCACUUUGACUGGAAACUCCCUGGCAAGGCUAUGCCGGGCGAGCUGGAUAUGGCGGAGGAGAUGGGCAUCUCGGUCCGAAGGAAGAACGAUCUUUACCUGUGUCCGGUUGUUCAUGUUAACCCAUGUGCUCUCGUGUAG
rnacentral:rRNA from 1 species